UAGGGAAUCUUCCGCAAUGGACGCAAGUCUGACGGAGCAACGCCGCGUGAGUGAAGAAGGAUUUCGGUUCGUAAAACUCUGUUGUUAGAGAAGAACAGCGCAUAGAGUAACUGUUAUGCGUGUGACGGUAUCUAACCAGAAAGCCACGGCUAACUACGUGCCAGCAGCCGCGGUAAUACGUAGGUGGCAAGCGUUGUCCGGAUUUAUUGGGCGUAAAGCGAGCGCAGGCGGUCAAUUAAGUCUGAUGUGAAAGCCCCCGGCUCAACCGGGGAGGGUCAUUGGAAACGGGUUGACUUGAGUGCAGAAGAGGAGAGUGGAAUUCCAUGGGUAGCGGUGAAAUGCGUAGAUAUAUGGAGGAACACCAGUGGCGAAGGCGACUCUCUGGUCUGUAACUGACGCGGAGGCUCGAAAGCGUGGGUAGCAAACAGG
rnacentral:rRNA from 1 species